rnacentral:rRNA from 1 species
CAGUAGCGCGGGAAUACGAAGGGUGCAAGCGUUAAUCGGAAUUACUGGGCGUAAAGCGUGCGUAGGCGGUUUGUUAAGUCUGCUGUGAAAUCCCCGGGCUCAACCUGGGAAUGGCAGUGGAUACUGGCAAGCUAGAGUGUGUCAGAGGAUGGUGGAAUUCCCGGUGUAGCGGUGAAAUGCGUAGAGAUCGGGAGGAACAUCAGUGGCGAAGGCGGCCAUCUGGGACAACACUGACGCUGAGGCACGAAAGCGUGGGGAGCAAACAGGAUUAGAUACCCCCGUAGUCCCUGUCUCUUAUACA